GCUUAAGAUAAGCAAAGAAAGUGGUUUCUUGAGAUAGAAUCUAUUCCUGGUGAAGAUGCUGUGAA
rnacentral:pre_miRNA from 1 species